rnacentral:misc_RNA from 1 species
UAGUCGAAGGAAAAUGGAUUCUAAAAAUGCACAGAAAAGUUGGGAACUCAGCAAUAGCAUCGAAAGUGUUAAUAGCACAGAUGAUAUCUACCGUUAUGACAACAAACAGCAACAAGAUAUAUUAACAGCAAAACCUUGGGAAAGAGAUCCCCACUAUUUCAAGCACAUCAAGAUCUCUGCUCUGGCACUGCUGAAGAUGGUGAUGCAUGCAAGGUCAGGGGGAAAUCUGGAAGUGAUGGGGCUGCUCCUAGGGAAAACUGAUGGCAACACAAUGAUUGUCAUGGAUGGUGUAGCUCUCCCGGUGGAAGGAACUGAGACUAGGGUGAAUGCUCAGGCUCAGGCGUAUGAAUACAUGGCUGCUUACACUGAGGCUGCCAAACAGGUUGCCAGACUUGAGAAUGCCAUAGGCUGGUACCACAGUCACCCUGGUUACGGCUGCUGGUUGUCUGGUAUUGAUGUCAGCACUCAGAUGUUGAACCAGCAGUUCCAGGAACCGUUUGUAGCCAUUGUGAUCGACCCUGUGAGAACUAUAUCUGCAGGUAAAGUGAACAUAGGAGCAUUCAGGACAUACCCCAAGGGUUACAAACCUCCGGAUGAGACCCCUUCUGAGUAUCAGACCAUCCCACUCAACAAGAUUGAAGACUUUGGUGUGCAUUGUAAACACUACUAUUCGCUUGAGAUCUCCUACUUCAAAUCAGCUUUAGAUCGACGACUAUUGGAGUCACUGUGGAACAAAUACUGGGUCAACACACUCAGCUCCUCCAGUCUUCUCACAAAUGCGGACUACAUGACUGGUCAGAUCUACGACCUGUCCGACAAGCUGGAGCAGUCCGAGGCGCAGCUGGGGAGGGGGGGCUUCAUGCUAGGGAUGGACACACAUGAGAAGAAGUCCGAGGACAAGCUACUUAAGGCUACCAAAGAUGGGUGCAAGACCACCAUUGAGGCUAUUCACGGCCUCAUGUCGCAGGUUAUCAAAGACCGACUGUUCAACCAAGUCCAUUUACCCACCCCUCAGUGAAGAAGCGGAGUCCUCGCAACAGAUGUAUAUAACUUAUGAUAGUGUCCCCUAAGCAAGGCGACACUGCAUACUACGUCAUUGUAUUGUUUGCCAAUCACCAGUGUUUAUGAACAUGAACUUGCUACAAAUUACAGGAAUAGAACAACUGUUGAAGAUCAUAUAUGCACAUGGAACGAAAUAGGGGUGGCAUAUCAUUUUGUUUGAUGAAUGAUCACCUAUAUUCUCAGGCGGGACACUUGAUGACAUUGUAGUGGUACACAAGAUACAAAUAACUUUUUUCAUUUGUUAAUAUGAAACAAUUAUAAGCUUUCUUAUGCUGUAUUUCUGUAUGUUCCUGUUUUUUUAUUUUCAUCACUAGCGAUACUCAAGCUUGGGGAGAUUCUUUUAUGUUUCAGUGGGUAAAGAAGAAAGUUUAUGUCUUAAGAAUCUUCAUUUUGUAUGUAUUUGAGUAGAACUCGAAAUGUCCAUGGGUCAAUCUUAACACCCCAGUGUUAGGACAGAUAUCAGUAUGAGGGUUGAAAAUUUACGAGUACUUUUUUGGAUCAACCAUGAGUUCCUGUAAAGACUGACCACAGUUUCCGUUCAGUCCAGUGUUCAGUUCUUGCUUGUCUUCUCUCCUAUCAGUUCAGGGUUUCAGUUCUCGCUUGUCUUCUCUCCUAUCAGUCCAGGGUUUCAGUUCUCGCUUAUCUUCUCUCCUAUCAGUCCAGGGUUUCAGUUCUCGCUUGUCUUCUCUCCUAUCAGUCCAGGGUUUCAGUUCUCGCUUGUCUUCUCUCCUAUCAGUCCAGGGUUUCAGUUCUCGCUUGUCUUCUCUCCUAUCAGUUCAGGGUUUCAGUUAUCGCUUGUCUUCUCUCCUAUCAGUCCAGGGUUUCAGUUCUCGCUUGUCUUCUCUCCUAUCAGUCCAGGGUUUCAGUUCCCGCUUGUCCUCUUUGGUCAUAUUCUUCCUUAAUAAUUUGUCAUUCUAAGGAACUACCAGGUAAGUUACUGAUAAUUGUUAUUUAAAUGUUGUGGCUUAAGAUACAAUUCUGAAUUCAUAUCACUUAAUGGUAAGAGUGUCGCUGUAAAAUCUGAUGAAUAUAAAUGACGUUCUUAAUUUUUAGCGAUCAUCAUUACAGAGUAAUGGCACAGGUCGUGACCUCACUUCAAUGCGAGUAGUUCUGUAUUUGUUCUGUCUCACCACAGGAAAACAGAUCCUUUUGUUGAUCCUUUGUGCUAAAGUGCUAUUGUUCCAACUUUCGAAUCUUAAAGUGUAUUUGUACAGAAAGUGCUGUCAAAUGUUGACAAUAAAUACCAAACUGUG